rnacentral:rRNA from 1 species
UACGGAGGGUGCAAGCAUUAAUCGGAUUUAUUGGGCGUAAAGGGCGCGUAGGCGGAGAUGUAAGUCAGAUGUGAAAUCCCGGGGCUCAACCUCGGAACAGCAUUUGAAACUGCAUCCCUAGAGGGUAGGCGGAGAAAACGGAAUUCCACAAGUAGCGGUGAAAAUGCGUAGAUAUGUGGAAGAACACCAGUGGCGAAGGCGGUUUUCUAGCUUAUUCCUGACGCUAAAGCGCGAAAGCAAGGGGAUCAAACAGG